AGUGUGCUCAGCACGUGGAAUGGCUUCUUCACUUCGCUGUGCUUUGUUGGGGCUCUCAUUUGAGAAACAUUUUUGUUCUUAUACUCAGAUUUUUGUCAAACAGAGUUGAGCCAGAGGAACAGUCCAGGGUGGCAGAGGGACACACCAGGAAGGAGCAGGAGAGAUGACCCAGGGAGGAUCCAGGGACGACCCAGAGACAAUCCUUAGAACUCAAAGUCAAAAGUAAGACCAAAGACCAAAGGGAGUGGGAGAUUGAACAAGAAGUCUGGAGACUUUAAGUUGGAUAGAACUGGCAGGGCGAUGUUGCUGGCUCAUACACCUGGUCAGACAAAAUAUCAAGCUGAGGAACUCAGUGGCUUCACGCUGCGGCUGAAAUAGGACCCCAGUUACCACAGCAGCCCCACAGAGUGUUUAGGUGUUCUUGGAUGGACGAUUUAUUUUGGAAUGGAGCUCCCCUCUCUCAUCAUGUCAACUAAUUUCUGGCAAUUUCUGGCAUCUGUGUCCUUCCUCAGUGAAGUGGAGGGCUGCUGGCAGCUGUGUUUUACACCACACUGCCCUGAAUACUCUAUCAACCUCCUGCUGUGCCACACAUCAUCACAUGAUCACAAAGACCCGAGACCUGAGACUCUUCAUCUCUCGGUGUCUCUUUCACCUAUGAACACAAUAUGAUAAAUCUCGUAGUAAAUACUACAUUUACUAAAAGAAAGUCAAGAAGUGCCCCUAGACAGAUGUGUUUACCCAUUGUAAGGACCACCCAUUGGCCCAAAAACAAAACCCAACGGUUAAGGUUAAGGUACGCUGUAAGGUUUAAGGUUUAAAUUCACUCCUUUUGUUUAUUUAGGAUCAAUUUAAUUUCAUGAUUUAUUUGACUCCAGUUUUAAAUUAUUCUCAAAUUUAAGUUGGAAUAU
rnacentral:lncRNA from 1 species